AAGAAGCGCUCAUCUGUUUUCUUCAUUGAAAAAUCUUCUUUAAUGGCAAACACAGACUGUCUGACUCUUCUUCCACCGCAAGGCAGGCCACUCUAAAGAUACACACUCUAUUGUUCUCACUCUCAUCCUCUUUAUCCACCUCCUGUCUGUCCACUAUGUAUCCAAAUACCUCCAAAUACCUGCCUUUUCUCCCCCCACUUACUGCCAAAUACCCAAAAUACCAGUGUCCUUUCCCAUCUGGUGGGAUCAAUCUAUUCAAGGUUUCCUGUAUAAAAGAGAACUGGGGAAUUGGACAUUGAGAAGUUUGGCCCCAAUAAAAGGCAUCCACACUGCUCUGCAGAUAUUCCUGCUUUGCACACACAGAUAACAGUAGAUAUUUCUCACAAAUCUUUUAGAAUUCCCGCAUUGCAAAACACAGUGAAGACACCUGCAGAGGAGGAGUUUAAGAGUGUGGUCUGAUUCAAAUAACAAGUCCAAUAUGGAAGAGGCGCUGUCUGUGGUCAGAAGACUGGAUCUGUGGGCUCAGACAGACAGACUGGUGAGGAGACACACUGCAAAGGUAUUAUGUGUAUAUGCAUAUCUGUGUGUUUAUGAGAGAGAGGGGCUGUUGUCACCUUCUGUUAUAUCUCUUCAUUUGUGGAGGCUCAUGUCUCAGUCCAGGCUUUGCAUACUGUAGGCCUAAAUCCUUUAUGUGUGUCUUGGUUGAUGACGAAUUAAAGUCAUGGCAACUUAUUUAAUAAUUGACUGUUUGCAAAACUCUUCCACCCAGCGGUCAUCAUCCAAUUGUAGUUUGACGCUGUAACUAGAUAUGACAGGCCUGUCAAGCUUUGCCUUUAUCUGUUUGUUAAAGUGUUAUAACGCUUAAAAAAAAAAAAGAUGGUUUCUUAUUUGAACCCGCUCAAAAAUACAACAGCAAAAAUGUAGAAUGAGUGUGUCUGUCUGCUCUAACAGGAGCUGCAAACAUUAGCAUGUGCAGAUCUCUACCUUGCAAUAUACAGUACAGUAAUCUAACCCAGUGUUACCUUCAAGGCGAAGAAGCAUUUCAUACUACAUUACAUUGUGGGGUUACACAAAAAUAAAGACCCAUACAUAAGCACAUGAAAGUUGGCCCUGGGUGCUACAUCAGCAUGUAUGCUAACAUUAGCAGCAAGCUAGCCAUCCUACACGAUGUGGGGAAGUUUAUACUCUUUAUACUAUUAACCAGUGUGGAACCUACACCAUAGCUUUUGGGGGAGCUCACUUUUUCUACUGUCACAGGGUAUGCUGACUACAACACAGAGAAAUGAAUAAUGGUGAUUUGGCUUCACAAGUUAUGUUUUCAGGGGAGCUCAUGGCUUAUUGAGAGAAUCCAAGCUCCACCCAUACAUACAUACAUACAUACAUACAUACAUACAUACAUACAAUUCCAUUUCUGAUGCUCACCAAGCGCACUAGACUUUUCUGUUGCAAUGUUACGAGAAACAGUAUUUUUGGUAUUUAGUAUUUUGAGUAAACUGACCCAACAUACAAAACUUACUGUAUGUACUAUACCCUAAACAUACUGUUUGUGAUGUUGACAAAAUCUUUUUACGUGUUGAAUUCAUAUGAUUUACUGUAAAUUCAGCUAGCUUCAUCUAGCAACCAGGCCUGUGACCUUUUAUUUGAAAUGUGAACCAAAUAAAGUAUUAGAACUGUAAUGAUUUGUUCAGAUUCAAAAUUCAUAACUGAUCCAGC
rnacentral:lncRNA from 1 species